AAGACUAUACUUUCAGGGAUCAUUUCUAUAGUUUGUUACUAGAGAAGUUUCUCUGAUCGUGUAGAGCACAGAAAGCCAUGAGGAGGAGGCGCAGUAUUCACUCCUGAGUGUGAAGCUGACACUUGAUGUUGCUUUCUUGCAAUUGUCAUUUGUCACUGAUAUCGUUCUUGCUUUCCUUUUAGGAAGUAACAGGGAGAGUAUGUAGUCUGAGUGGU
rnacentral:snoRNA from 1 species